CGACAGUAGACCUGGAGUAUAUGGGUACGGGUAUGGCCGGUCUAGAGACUACAGUGGCAGCCAGGGUGGUUAUGAGCGCUAUUCAGGAGGAAAUUACAGAGACAAUUAUGACAACUGAGAUGGGGCAUGCACACAUAAUGUAGAUACACAAGGAAUAACACUUCUGAUCCAGGAUCGUCCUUCCAAAUUGCUGUAUUUAUAAAGAUUUUUGGAGCUGCGCUGAAACAUCUAUUUAGUACAUCAAGUUCUAUUUUUGAAUUGAGCUCCCAACGUAGUUUGAUAAAGACCUCUUAGAAAGCUCCAUGUGUUUAAACAUAUUUUUCCUUUUAAAGACAAAUUUUAAGACAUUGGUUAUGGUACCAAUAUUCCUUUAUGCCCAAAAAAAGUUGUUUAUUUCUGGCCAGAAAGUUAGUCAA